UAUGGCAUCAGAGUUGUUCCAACCUGCAUAGGAUACUUUAUACUUUGGUGAGACCUUGAUAUGUUCCAAUACAGACUGGAAAGAAAGGUCUCAAGCAGAAGGUGGGAAAUUGCUUCACCACUUUCUGGUUGCCAACUGGUCCGAGUCUAAUGAGAUGGAACCAACACACAGCAAGCAACAUGAAGUGGGUUUCAUUACUUACAGGUGAGCAGCAAGAGA
rnacentral:lncRNA from 1 species